GGACUACAGGGGUAUCUAAUCCUGUUUGCUCCCCACGCUCUCGCGCCUCAGCGUCAGUAUUUGUCCAGGUAGCCGCCUUCGCCACUGGUGUUCCUUCCGAUCUCUACGCAUUUCACCGCUACACCGGAAAUUCCACUACCCUCUACAAUACUCCAGUCAUGCAGUUAUCGAUGCAGUUCCUAGGUUAAGCCCAGGGAUUUCACACCAAUCUUACAUAACCGCCUACGCGCCCUUUACGCCCAGUAACUCCGAUUAACGCUCGCACCCUCUGUAUUACCGCGGCUGCUGGCAC
rnacentral:rRNA from 1 species